GGCCAGGUAGCUCAGUCGGUACGAGCGUCCGCCUGAAAAGCGGAAGGUCGGCGGUUCGAUCCCGCCCCUGGCCACCA
rnacentral:tRNA from 110 species